rnacentral:rRNA from 1 species
GUCUACAGCCAAGCCACCCUGAACAUGCCUGAUCUUGAAAGCUAAGCAGGGUUGGACCUGGUUAGUACUUGGAUGGGAGACCACCUAGGACUACCAGUUGCUGUAGGUA